CCUCUUCUCGUCCUCCUAUCUCUCGUCUCUCUCCCUAUUUUUUUCUCAGUCACAAACGCUUAUGCCUUCUCCUAUCUCUCUUUGCUUUCGGAUUUCUCUCUUAAGCACAAAGCUUUUUUCAUAUGUAAUUUUUGAAACUUAAUAUUGUUAUCAUUUUAACUAACAAAUGUUUAUUUGGUAUUUUACAGGUUCAUCUUUAUCAUAUUUUUUCAAGGAGUUGGAUGGAUUCAAGGAUACAUUAUAGAAGAUUUAUAUAAUUUUAUCUUAGUAAUCAAAAGCGUGAAAGAUAAUAGAAGUUUUUUACAGAUGAAGGACCAAAGAGUUGCAGCUUGAAAGAUAAUAGAAGUUUUUUUUACAGAUGAAGGACCAAAGAGUUGCAGCUUGAAAGAUAAUUGGAGUUUUUUUACAGAUGAAGGACCAAAGAAUUGAAGGUUUGUGUUAAACUUAAUAUGUAAUGUAUAGAUCUGAUGAACUAUAGUGGUUUUGUGUUUAAAAAAUGUUGUUUUGAUCUUACAGCUCGAAAGAUAAUAGUAAGUUUGGUGUAUAUUGUUGUGUUUGAAUUAUGAUUACUAAUCAUUCUAGUAGAUAUUCCACCACUGACCACAACAAUACUGUAGUAAAUUAUGGCCUCCAUUUUUUGGUAAAGUUAAAGCAAAAACUUGUGGCAGUGGCUUAUGUGCUUCUAACUUUUAUGAAUGUGAAUUCUGUUUUGAGGUUCUAUCCCUAAUUCAACUUACUUUUUUUGUAUAGGAAAAACAUAUGAACAAGCAUACAUGAGUUGGACUUAGUAGUGAGAAGAUUUCAGUAUUUGUGUUUAUGUGAUUUUUUUAAUUAUUUAAGAACUUAAUAUGGACUGAAUUUUAUUGAAUUUAUUGUGUUAUAAUUUUUUAUUUAUCUGAUC